AAAUUAAAAUAAGCUUCUAACUUAUUAUUAAGCAUUAUAAUGUUUAUAUUUCUAUU
rnacentral:tRNA from 1 species